rnacentral:rRNA from 1 species
GGAGGAUGCGAGCGUUAUCCGGAUUUAUUGGGUUUAAAGGGAGCGCAGACGGGUCUUUAAGUCAGUUGUGAAAGUUUGCGGCUCAACCGUAAAAUUGCAGUUGAUACUGGAGACCUUGAGUGCGGUAUAGGCAGGCGGAAUUCGUGGUGUAGCGGUGAAAUGCUUAGAUAUCACGAAGAACUCCGAUUGCGAAGGCAGCUUGCUGGACCGUAACUGACGUUGAGGCUCGAAAGUGCGGGUAUCAAACAGGAUUAGAUACCCUGGUGGUCCGCACGGUAAACGAUGGAUACUCGCUGUUGGCGAUAGACGGUCAGCGGCCAAGCGAAAGCGUUAAGUAUCCCACCUGGGGAGU